ensembl:lncRNA
AUAGAAAUGAUUCUGCAAACAAUUAACUGUAGGGAAGGUGCACGCCCUCCUGCAGUGCCUAUCGGUGGCACAUAGAAGUACUGCAGUACUUAACAUAUUUUUUGUUGAAGUUCCAAUAACUGCUGAAUAAAUCAAAAGAUUGGGUUAGAAUCCCUCCCAUCAAAAGACCCUAAAAUAACAGAAUAAUAAAGCACUUUCAAAAAAAAUUCUUAUGAAAUGCCACAAAGGUUUAAAUAAAAACAAAUUUGGUGCACAAAGUAUACCUAUAUACUGCUAGUCUAUAUCAGCACAGGAAAGAAUGCCUAUCUUGCACCUGGCGACAAAUUUUCACUUCAUCACUAAAACACCCAAUACUGCAGAAAUCUGAAAUAAAGAAAAUAUUAUGGGAUCCAACUGUUUCCUGGAAUAAAGUGGAUAAAAUUGGUCAGUUGAGGUUGCUAUUGCAACCCGAGUAAACAACAAAACCGUGUUCAGACCCCUGAGAUUAAACACACUCAUUUUCCUAAUGCUUUGACAAGGAGAGGUUACAUACCGCGUCCAGCGCCGGGGUAUCCUCCUGCGCCAUAACCUGGCAACCAAACAAGAGAGAUGUUUAGGUUACAGAAAGAAGAAAUAAAUGCCUGUUUAGCGGAAGCCUCUCAUGGUAGACACAUAAACUCUCACUCUCACAUAUCUUGAUCAAAAAUAUGACACCUAAUCAUGACAAAUGGACAGCAUACAUCACUACGUGUGAAAGAUUUUUAACCACAGCACAAGGUCAAAUUUUGAUUGGUUAGAUCAGAUCCAGUCUGCUACACAACCUUCGGGUCGGAAAGAGAUGGCAUUAAACUGGCAUGUGUCAUUUGAUGUUUAUUGAUUUGGGUCACUCACCUAGCUGUGCUCCAUAGCCAUUACUGGUGUAACCUAGAAAAUGUCAAAAUCAAACAGUGAGUAAGUGUUGCAAUAGUCCUUCUGAACUGAAAGCAAAUGAGCAGCUCUCACCUCUUCCUCCGAGCUUCCCUGCUGGAUAACCUAAGGCUGCUCCCAGCCCGUUGCCUAGGCCAUACCCUGUGCCGAGUCCCAGCCCAGCAGCCCCGAGGCCAGUUCCAAGGAAUGACAUACCUCCUCCAUAACCUCCAAGUGUUCCAUAUCCUUGUUUCAGGCCUCCUCUGAUCGCAGUGGGUCUGUAUGCCGCUCCUAACAGACACCAUACUCAUUACACAUACUACACACACAUAUACACAUAAUAAUAA